GAAAGCAUCACAACAAACAAAAAUAAUGUUUUGCGCAGGCUUCAGUUUGUGUCUGUAUAUUUCAUUGAAGGCUAUCAUCGAAAAAAAAAAAUUAGCAUGUACAAAUAUUAUCUACUAGUAGCAUUGAGUAUCUUAUUGAUACAAACUAGUGUGGAAUACGAUCCAGAAGACACUGAAUUGAAAAAUGUGAUUCCUGCUAAUGGUACGUUCGCUGCAUUUUAUCCUCGAGAAAUGUAUGGAAAUCGCAACGGGAACGUAAGAGCACCGUUCGCUCAUGGCAGUUUUUAUAAAAACAGAAACCCAGCAUUAGUUGAUGUUCGUAAUGCCGCUGCUUAUGGAUACCGUUUUGAUGGCAAACGUAGGUUCAAUUUUUAGUGAUAUUUGGAUGAUUUUGUUUUUUACCGUACAUAGUUUCAAUAUAUUUUGUGAUAAUUACUAAAAUAUUGAAUAAAUGACGUUGAUGUAA